AGGUCCAUGAUUACCUUAGGAGCAAGUUGUGUUCCCUCUAUGAAAAUGACUGCAUCUUUGACAAGUUUGAAUGUGCAUGGAACGGAUCAGACAGUGUGAUAAUGACAGGUGCAUAUAACAACUUUUUUCGAAUGUUUGACCGAAAUACCAAGCGGGAUGUUACCUUGGAGGCAUCCCGAGAGAGCAGUAAACCACGAGCUAUUCUUAAGCCCCGGAGAGUUUGUGUCGGAGGCAAACGGAGGAAAGAUGACAUCAGUGUGGAUAGUUUGGACUUUACUAAGAAGAUCUUGCACACAGCGUGGCACCCAACCGAGAACAUCAUUGCUAUAGCAGCGACAAACAAUCUGUACAUAUUUCAGGAUAAAGUGAACUCAGAAAUGCACUAGAUUUAUCAAUAUCUCUCUAUAUUUACAAACCAGCCUCUUGAGAGUUGUAGAAGGAUGUGAUCUCCACAAAAAUUGUGGCUUCUGUGGUGGGAUCUGUAGGUUGUAUCCUUUCAUUCCUCAGCCUGUAUCAUUAUUGGUGGCAAGCCAACUAUUUUCCAUCACUGCAACUGUAUGAGUAAAAGGCACGACUGCAAAUCCA